UACGUAGGUGGCAAGCGUUGCUCGGAUUAAUUGGGCGUAAAGCGAGCGCAGGCGGUCAAUUAAGUCUGAUGUGAAAGCCCCCGGCUUAACCUGAGAGUUGCAUUGGAAACUGGUUGACUAGAGUGCAGUAGAGGAGGGUAGAAUUCCAUGUGUAGCGGUGAAAUGCGUAGAGAUAUGGAGGAACACCGGUGGCGAAGGCGGCCCCCUGGACUGAGACUGACGCUCAGGUUCGAAAGCGUGGGUAGCAAACAGG
rnacentral:rRNA from 1 species